GCUUACGGCCAUACCAGCCCAAGAACGCCCGGUCUCGUCUGAUCUCGGAAGCUAAGAAGGCUUGGCCCUGGUUAGUACUUGGAUUGGAGACGUCCUGGGAAUACCAGGUGCUGUAAGCU
ensembl:rRNA 5S_rRNA 5S ribosomal RNA